GAUGAAGAACUCAGCGAAAUGCGAUACGUAAUGUGAAUUGCAGAAUUCAGUGAAUCAUCGAAUCUUUGAACGCAUAUUGCGCUCUCUGGUAUUCCGGAGAGCAUGCUUGUUUGAGUAUCAGUAAACACCUCAACUCCCUUUUCUUUUUUGAAAUUGGAGCUGGACUUGAGUGAUCCCAACGCUUUCUUCCAAGAAAGUGGCGGGUUGCUUGAAAUGCAGGUGCAGCUGAACUUUUCUCUGAGCUAUAAGCAUAUCUAUUUAGUCUGCCUAAAAAACAGAUUAUUACCUUUGCUGCAGCUAACAUAAAGGAGACUAGUUCUUGUGCUGACUGAUGCAGGAUUCACAGAGACAGCUUCGGCUGACUUUGUAAACUCGAUCUCAAAUCAAGUAAGACUACCCGCUGAACUUAAGCAUAUCAAUAAGCGGAGGA
rnacentral:misc_RNA from 1 species